GACGAACGCUGGCGGCGUGCUUAACACAUGCAAGUCGAACGGAAAGGCCCUGCUUUUGUGGGGUGCUCGAGUGGCGAACGGGUGAGUAACACGUGAGUAACCUGCCCUUGACUUUGGGAUAACUUCAGGAAACUGGGGCUAAUACCGGAUAGGAGCUCCUGCUGCAUGGUGGGGGUUGGAAAGUUUCGGCGGUUGGGGAUGGACUCGCGGCUUAUCAGCUUGUUGGUGGGGUAGUGGCUUACCAAGGCUUUGACGGGUAGCCGGCCUGAGAGGGUGACCGGCGACAUUGGGACUGCGGUACGGCCCAGACUCCUACGGGAGGCAGCAGUGGGGAAUAUUGCACAAUGGGCGGAAGCCUGAUGCAGCAACGCUGCGUGCGGGAUGAAGGCCUUCGGGUUGUAAACCGCUUUCGCCUGUGACGAAGCGUGAGUGACGGUAAUGGGUAAAGAAGCACCGGCUAACUACGUG
rnacentral:rRNA from 1 species